CGGUAAUANCGGAGGAUGCAAGCGUUAUCCGGAAUGAUUGGGCGUAAAGGGUCUUGAGGUGGCUAGUCAAGUCUACUGUGAAAGAUCGGGGCUUAANCCCCGAAGAAGCGGUGGAAACUAANCAAGCUUGAGUACGGUAGGGGCGGAGGGAAUUCUCUAUGGAGCGGUGAAAUGCAUAGAUAUAGGGAAGAACACCAACGGCGAAAGCACUCCGCUGGGCCGAUACUGACACUAACAGACGAGAGCUAGGGGAGCGAAUGGGAUUAGAUACCCCAGUAGUC
rnacentral:rRNA from 1 species